CAAUAGCGUAUAUUAAAGUUGUUGCAGUUAAAAAGCUCGUAGUUGGAUUUCUGGUGAGAUGGAUUAUGUCUAGGUCGAAAGAUCUUGUUCAUGGUUCGUUUUGCCCUUCUUGUCAGGAACCCGCUGAGAUUCGCGUCUUGUCGGUGGAAUGGCAUCGUUUACUGUGAAAAAAUUAGAGUGUUCAAAGCAGGCAUCGCCGUUGAAUACAUUAGCAUGGAAUAAUAAGAUAAGACUUUGGUGGUCUAUUUUGUUGGUUUGCACGCCAAGGUAAUGAUUAAUAGGGAUAGUUGGGGGUAUUCGUAUUCUAUUGCUAGAGGUGAAAUUCUUAAAUUUAUGGAAGACGAACUGCUGCGAAAGCAUUUACCAAGGAUGUUUUCAUUAA
rnacentral:rRNA from 1 species